UCACGUGAUGAUAAUAUUGUCCAGUUCUGCUACUGAAGGGACAGCGGUGACACCCUUAGAAUCUGAAGA